rnacentral:misc_RNA from 1 species
GAUGAAGAACGCAGCGAAAUGCGAUAGGUAAUGUGAAUUGCAGAAUUCAGUGAAUCAUCGAAUCUUUGAACGCACAUUGCGCCCGCUAGUAUUCUGGCGGGCAUGCCUGUCCGAGCGUCAUUUCAACCCUCAAGCCCCCGGGCUUGGUGUUGGGGAUCGGCGAGCCUCCGCGCCCGCCGUCCCCUAAAUCUAGUGGCGGUCUCGCUGUAGCUUCCUCUGCGUAGUAGCACACCUCGCACUGGGAAACAGCGCGGCCACGCCGUUAAACCCCCAACUUCUGAACGUUUGACCUCGGAUCAGGUAGGAAUACCCGCUGAACUUAAGCAUAUCAAUAAGCGGAGGA